CGGGGUAUAGCUCAGUGACUGAGUGCUUGCUUAGCAUGCAUGAGGGCCUGGGUUCAAUCUCCAGUACCACUA
rfam:Ictidomys tridecemlineatus contig044488, whole genome shotgun sequence.